GUUGAUGGGAAUGUUGUUUGGCUCGAGGAAUCUGCAUGAGGGUGAGGUGGUUUUGCCUUUGUUCAUCUUUCGAAGCUUGUAAUUUCUGGGUUUCAAUCUUUGAAACUUUGAAAGGAAGAAAAGCUUUAAAGAUUGGAUUUUGAGGCUACCCAUCGUGUGAUCUCGGACCAGGCUUCAUUCCCGUUAAC
rfam:Vigna angularis cultivar Jingnong 6 chromosome 9, whole genome shotgun sequence.